ensembl:lncRNA
UUUAAAUGAUCUGCAAACAAAUGUAAAAACAUUUAUGUUUUUGAAGGCAUUAUUCAUGAACCCUGUAACAUCAGGUAGAGAACGCACACUAAAACUUAUUUUUUUGUAGAAAAAAAUUUUUUGUCCCAGCCUUGCUGUAUUAUUUAUUUUAGAAGGAAUUGGGGAAUUAAUCGGGAAAUCUGUUUGAUUAGAAGGGAAUUCUUCAUUUUGAGAGAUUUCCCAAUGCUCUUAAGAGCGUACAGCUUCUUAGUCAAGACUAGGAGGAGAAAACCGGUUUAGGAUUUUGCAGGGUUACCUCAUCUAAUCCUUCUGAAUUCACUCUGGGAAUAAUGCUGUUUUAUUUAGAAAAAAAAAUACAUUUAGAGAAAUCGGGGGUUUCCUCUCUAUGAGCCAAAUCUGGAUUGCCAUUCAAACUUUUCCUGGCUGCUUUCCAUGCGGGACAGUAGAUCAAUAAAGCCAAGUCCAGCCUGGCUUGCUACAGGUUUCACCAGUCAGUGCUUGCAAAACCUUUGUCAUUUUCUAAAAAUAAAAAAGCUAAAAGUUAUUGUAGAAGAAGGGGCUUUUUUUUGUCCUCUGCACAAUGUGUCUUUUGUGAGGUUAAUGCCAUUCUGGGCUCUCGAUAGCCCUGGACAAUGGGAACUCUCCAGGAGUCUGCAAAGACUCUGGCUUUCUUCUUGCUUGAUUUUUUUUCUAAAGGGAAGGAUGAAACAUUCCUACAGUCCAAACACAACUUCUACUUUGAUUAAAUAAAUAUUUAUCUUUAUUGUAGCCAUUGUAUAUUUUUACCUUCAGUUUGUCCAGUUUCUGAUUAUUAUUUUAAAUUUUUCAUUGGCAACAGUUAAUCUUUUUUUUUUCCCUUUCAGUCCAAAGUGCAGGUCAGUGUAAAAUGUAGCUGACUGAAGGAAGACUGGUAAAUUCUGAAUUUUUCCAUUAUACAUCAGGUGCAACUAAACCCAACUGCUCACCUCGGCUCCAUCCUAUCCAAGUCAAGGCCUCAGUCACAUAUCCUCAAAUUUGUCUCACAGGGGUCCCUGCUCUCAAAGGAUCAAGGAAGACGGAGGGGGAAGGGAUGAUGAG